UGUUUGCUGGAGGUAUCAGAAGUGCGAAUGCUGACAUGAGUAACGAAUAAGGGGGUGAAAAACCUCCUCGCCGGAAGACUAAGGAUUCCU
rnacentral:rRNA from 1 species